UACGUAGGGUGCGAGCGUUAAUCGGAAUGACUGGGCGUAAAGGGUGCGCAGGCGGUUUGUUAAGACGGAUGUGAAAUCCCCGGGCUCAACCUGGGAAUGGCAUUCGUGACUGGCAAACUAGAAUAUGGCAGAGGGAGGCGGAAUUCCACAUGUAGCAGUGAAAUGCGUAGAGAUGUGGAGGAACACCGAUGGCGAAGGCAGCCUCCUGGGCCAAUAUUGACGCUCAGGCACGAAAGCGUGGGGAGCAAACAGG
rnacentral:rRNA from 1 species